rnacentral:ncRNA from 1 species
AUGCGUCUGCGAAGGGCGAAGCGCGGUUUUGUAAAAAGGCUUUGCAGACAGCCGUGCCGUGUUCAGUCUUGUACAUUAAGCUAAAAGCUUAAAUUGAAAGCCGUUU